rnacentral:rRNA from 1 species
AUUGAACGCUGGCGGCAUGCCUUACACAUGCAAGUCGAACGGUAACGCGGGGCAACCUGGCGACGAGUGGCGAACGGGUGAGUAAUAUAUCGGAACGUGCCCAGUAGUGGGGGAUAGCCCGGCGAAAGCCGGAUUAAUACCGCAUACGACCUACGGGUGAAAGCGGGGGAUCGCAAGACCUCGCGCUAUUGGAGCGGCCGAUAUCAGAUUAGGUAGUUGGUGGGGUAAAGGCCUACCAAGCCUACGAUCUGUAGCUGGUCUGAGAGGACGACCAGCCACACUGGGACUGAGACACGGCCCAGACUCCUACGGGAGGCAGCAGUGGGAAUUUUGGACAAUGGGCGCAAGCCUGAUCCAGCCAUGCCGCGUGCGGGAAGAAGGCCUUC